rnacentral:rRNA from 1 species
AUUGAACGCUGGCGGCAUGCCUUACACAUGCAAGUCGAACGCUAACAGGUCUUCGGAUGCUGACGAGUGGCGAACGGGUGAGUAAUACACCGGAACGUGCCUAGUAGUGGGGGAUAACUACUCGAAAGAGUGGCUAGUACCUCAUGAGGUCCACUGACGAAAGUCGGGGAUCGCAAGAGCUUGUGCCACUAGAACGGCCGAUGGCAGAUUAGGUAGUUGGUGGGAUAAAAGCUUACCAAGCCGACGAUCUGUAGCUGGUCUGAGAGGACGAUCAGCCACACUGGGACUGAGACACGGCCCAGACUCCAACGGGAGGCAGCAGUGGGGAAUUUUGGACAAUGGGCGCAAGCCUGAUCCAGCAAUGCCGCGUGCAGGAUGAAGGCCUUCGGGUUGUAAACUGCUUUUGUACGGAACGAAAAGCCCUGGGUUAAUACCCUGGGGUCAUGACGGUACCGUAAGAAUAAGCACCGGCUAACUACGUGCCAGCCGCCGCCGUAAAAC